rnacentral:rRNA from 1 species
CAAACUGGAGAUGGCGACCGGCGCACGGGUGAGUAACACGUAUCCAACCUGCCGAUAACUCGGGGAUAGCCUUUCGAAAGAAAGAUUAAUACCCGAUGGCAUAGUUCUUCCGCAUGGUGGAACUAUUAAAGAAUUUCGGUUAUCGAUGGGGAUGCGUUCCAUUAGGCAGUUGGUGGGGUAACGGCCCACCAAACCUUCGAUGGAUAGGGGUUCUGAGAGGAAGGUCCCCCACAUUGGAACUGAGACACGGUCCAAACUCCUACGGGAGGCAGCAUG